CCUACGGGAGGCAGCAGUAGGGAAUCUUGGACAAUGGGCGCAAGCCUGAUCCAGCCAUGCCGCGUGAGUGAAGAAGGCCUUAGGGUCGUAAAGCUCUUUCGCCUGUGAUGAUAAUGACAGUAGCAGGUAAAGAAACCCCGGCUAACUCCGUGCCAGCAGCCGCGGUAAUACGGAGGGGGUUAGCGUUGUUCGGAAUUACUGGGCGUAAAGCGCGCGUAGGCGGAUUGGAAAGUUAGAGGUGAAAUCCCGGGGCUCAACCCCGGAACGGCCUUUAAAACCCCCAGUCUAGAGUUCGAGAGAGGUGAGUGGAAUUCCAAGUGUAGAGGUGAAAUUCGUAGAUAUUUGGAGGAACACCAGUGGCGAAGGCGGCUCACUGGCUCGAUACUGACGCUGAGGUGCGAAAGUGUGGGGAGCAAACAGGAUUAGAUACCCUGGUAGUCCACACCGUAAACGAUGAAUGCCAGUCGUCGGAUAGUAUACUAUUCGGUGACACACCUAACGGAUUAAGCAUUCCGCCUGGGGAGUACGGUCGCAAGAUUAAAACUCAAAGGAAUUGACGG
rnacentral:rRNA from 1 species